UACGAAGGGGGCUAGCGUUGCUCGGAAUCACUGGGCGUAAAGCGCACGUAGGCGGAUCGUUAAGUCGGGGGUGAAAUCCUGGAGCUCAACUCCAGAACUGCCUUCGAUACUGGAAGACUUGAGUCCGGGAGAGGUGAGUGGAACUGCGAGUGUAGAGGUGAAAUUCGUAGAUAUUCGCAAGAACACCAGUGGCGAAGGCGGCUCACUGGCCCGGUACUGACGCUGAGGUGCGAAAGCGUGGGGAGCGAACAGG
rnacentral:rRNA from 1 species